GUCUAUGGCCACACCACCCUGAACACGCGGGGUCUUGUCUGAUCAGGGAAGCGAAACGGGGGCGGGGGGAGACUGCCUAGUUACACCGAGGGGCCAUAGGCA
rnacentral:rRNA from 1 species